UUGGAGGGCAAGUCUGGUGCCAGCAGCCGCGGUAAUUCCAGCUCCAAUAGCGUAUAUUAAAGUUGUUGCAGUUAAAAAGCUCGUAGUUGAAUUUCGGGAUCAAUGUUUCGGUCAUGCCGUUGGUAUGUACUGAUAUUAUUGAUUUCUCACCUUCUAAAGAACCGUAAUGCCAUUAAUUUGGUGUCACGGGGAAUUAGGACUGUUACCUUGAAAAAAUUAGAGUGUUUAAAGCAGGCUCACGCUUGAAUACAUUAGCAUGGAAUAAUGAAAUAGGACAUCCGAUUCUAUUUUGUUGGUUUCUAGGAUCGAUGUAAUGAUUAAUGGGGAUAGUUGGGGGCAUUAGUAUUCAAUUGUCAGAGGUGAAAUUCUUGGAUUUAUUGAAGACUAACUACUGCGAAAGCAUUUGCCAAGGAUGUUUUCAUUAAUCAAGAACGAAAGUUAGGGGAUCGAAGACGAUCAGAUACCGUCGUAGUCUUAACCAUAAACUAUGCCGACUAGGGAUCGGAUGAUGUUAAUUUUUUAAUGACUCAUUCGGCGCCUUACGGGAAACCAAAGUGUUUGGGUUC
rnacentral:rRNA from 1 species